rnacentral:rRNA from 1 species
GGAUAUGAGGCGGGCUGGACCUCUCGGGGUUACAGCCUUGCUGAAUUAUUCACCCUUGUCUUUUGCGUACUUCUUGUUUCCUUGGUGGGUUCGCCCACCACUAGGACAAACAUAAACCUUUUGUAAUUGCAAUCAGCGUCAGUAACAAAUUAAUAAUUACAACUUUCAACAACGGAUCUCUUGGUUCUGGCAUCGAUGAAGAACGCAGCGAAAUGCGAUAAGUAGUGUGAAUUGCAGAAUUCAGUGAAUCAUCGAAUCUUUGAACGCACAUUGCGCCCUUUGGUAUUCCAAAGGGCAUGCCUGUUCGAGCGUCAUUUGUACCCUCAAGCUUUGCUUGGUGUUGGGCGUCUUGUCUCUAGCUUUGCUGGAGACUCGCCUUAAAGUAAUUGGCAGCCGGCCUACUGGUUUCGGAGCGCAGCACAAGUCGCACUCUCUAUCAGCAAAGGUCUAGCAUCCAUUAAGCCUUUUUUUCAACUUUUGACCUCGGAUCAGGUAGGGAUACCCGCUGAACUUAAGCAUAUCAA